rnacentral:rRNA from 1 species
CGCUGGCGGCGUGCCUAAUACAUGCAAGUCGAACGGUCUUUCUAUGGAAGCUUGCUUCCACUGAAAAGAUAGUGGCGAACGGGUGAGUAACACGUGGGGUAACCUGCCCAUAAGAGGGGGAUAACAUCCGGAAACGGGUGCUAAUACUGCAUAGUUUUCUUGAUCGCAUGAUCGGGAAGGAAAGACGGCCUUUGUGCUGUCGCUUAUGGAUGGACCCGCGGCGUAUUAGUUAGUUGGUGAGGUAACGGCUCACCAAGACGAUGAUACGUAGCCGACCUGAGAGGGUGAUCGGCCACAUUGGGACUGAGACACGGCCCAAACUCCUACGGGAGGCAGCAGUAGGGAAUCUUCCGCAAUGGACGAAAGUCUGACGGAGCAACGCCGCGUGAGUGAAGAAAAGGUUUUCGGAUCGUAAAACUCUGUUGUCAGAGAAGAACAAGUUGGAGAGUAACUGCUCCAGCCUUGACGGUAUCUGACCAGAAAGCCACGGCUAACUACGUGCCAGCCGCCGC